rnacentral:tRNA from 1 species
UGCUGUUGUGUCCUGGGGACGCUCUGUCUUGAAAACAGAGUUAAAGUGUUCGAAUCACUUAAUAGCUU